rnacentral:rRNA from 1 species
CUACGGGAGGCAGCAGUGGGGAAUAUUGGACAAUGGGCGCAAGCCUGAUCCAGCCAUACCGCGUGGGUGAAGAAGGCCUUCGGGUUGUAAAGCCCUUUUGUUGGGAAAGAAAUGCCAGCCGAGUUAAUACCUGGUUGGGAUGACGGUACCCAAAGAAUAAGCACCGGC